rnacentral:ncRNA from 2 species
ACUAAAAAUUAUGAUUAUGAUACUUUAAAAUAAACUGUGGAAGUCCGGUGAAAAUCCGGCGCUGUCCCCGCAACUGUGAGCUGGACGAAAGCCAUCUAUGCCACUGCCUUUUAAAGGUGGGAAGGCUGGCAAGUAGGAUGAAGGUGAGCCAGGAUACACAGCCAAAAUAACACUACGGAG